rnacentral:rRNA from 1 species
UUACGGCGGCUAUAGCGGUGGGGAAACGCCCGGUCCCAUUCCGAACCCGGAAGCUAAGGUCACCUGCGCCGAUGGUACUGCACUCGACAGGGUGUGGGAGAGUAGGACACCGCCGGAACAU